AUUGAACGCUGGCGGCAGGCUUAACACAUGCAAGUCGAGCGAGCGGCGGACGGGUGAGUAAUGUCUGGGAAACUGCCUGAUGGAGGGGGAUAACUACUGGAAACGGUAGCUAAUACCGCAUACCAUCAGAUGUGCCCAGAUGGGAUUAGCUAGUGGGUGGGGUAAAGGCUCACCUAGGCGAAGAUCCCUAGCUGGUCUGAGAGGAUGACCCGCCCAAAUGGAAAUGAGGAACGGGCCAAACUCCCGCGGGAGGCCGCAAUGGGGGAUAUUGCGCAAAGGGGGCAAGCCUGAUGCAGCCAAGCCGCGUGUAUGAAGAAGGCCUUCGGGUUGUAAAGUACUUUCAGCGGGGAGGCGUUACCCGCAGAAGAAGCCCCGGCUAACUCCGUGGCCGCCGCCGCGGUAAUAC
rnacentral:rRNA from 1 species